rnacentral:lncRNA from 1 species
GAACAUUUUCUGAACCUUCUCAUCUAUUCCCUCACAUUUGCCUCUGGCGCUCUGCAAUCUUCCUCCUGGGAUGGUCUUGGUUUUCUCCCAGGACUUUCAUGUUUCUGGUUUUUCCUGUCCCCUCUAGUUGUAUCCCAUUUUCUCUUUCCCAUCUUGGGCAUAGCUGGCACUUGAUCGCAGUUCACUACCAACCCAGGCUGGUCCUGAACUUUGCUCCACAACCCAAUCUCUCUGUCAUGUACCUUCCUCCAGAUAAGGCAUUUGAAGAAAGUCUCCGGAAUGAUAUUUGAAGAAGAUAGGAAGCCUAAUAAGGAUGAGCACAGUUUGGAGUCAGUCAUACCUGGAUUUGAAAUCCAUCUUGCAUGUUACUAUGAUCUUGGAUGAAUCUCCAUAGCAUUUUACCAUUUUUGAGACCUCAGAUUAAUGGAAAUGAAGAGAACAUGGGACAUUAAACAGCUUGAAGAACCUAAUGAGGCACAAAGAAGCUGAUCAAUAAAAGUAUAAUGAAGCAAUUGAAUGAAUUCUUCCUGAUAUUAUUUUAUAGUCGAUCGACAAACACAUUUU